GAUGAACGCUGGCGGCGCGCCUAACACAUGCAAGUCGAACGAUUAAAGCACCUUCGGGUGUGUAUAAAGUGGCGAACGGCUGAGUAACACGUGGGCAACCUGCCCCUUUCAUUGGGAUAGCCACGGGAAACCGUGGAUAAUACCGAAUACUUCGAGACUUCCGCAUGGAAGACUCGAGAAAGCUCCGGCGGAGAGGGAUGGGCCCGCGGCCUGUUAGCUUGUUGGUGGGGUAACGGCCUACCAAGGCAAUGAUGGGUAGCUGGGUUGAGAGACCGACCAGCCAGAUUGGGACUGAGACACGGCCCAGACUCCUACGGGAGGCAGCAGUGGGGAAUCUUGCACAAGGGGCGAAAGCCUGAUGCAGCGACGCCGCGUGCGGGAUGAAGGCCUUCGGGUUGUAAACCGCUUUCAGCAGGGACGAGGCGAAAGUGACGGUACCUGCAGAAGAAGCCCCGGCUAACUACGUGC
rnacentral:rRNA from 1 species